rnacentral:rRNA from 1 species
GGACGGGUGAGUAACACGUGGAUAACCUACCUAUAAGACUGGGAUAACUUCGGGAAACCGGAGCUAAUACCGGAUAAUAUAUUGAACCGCAUGGUUCAAUAGUGAAAGACGGUUUUGCUGUCACUUAUAGAUGGAUCCGCGCCGCAUUAGCUAGUUGGUAAGGUAACGGCUUACCAAGGCAACGAUGCGCAGCCGACCUGAGAGGGUGAUCGGCCACACUGGAACUGAGACACGGUCCAG